GUGCUCGCUUCGGCAGCACAUGCACUAAAAUUGGAAUGAUACAGAGAAGAUUAGCACGGCCCCCGCUCAAGGAUGACACGCAAAUCUGUGAAGCAUUCUGUAUUUUU
ensembl:snRNA U6 U6 spliceosomal RNA